GCUUCCUGGGAUGGCUCAGUCAGUAGAACAUGAGACUGUUAAUUUCAGGGUUGUGGGUUCAAGCCCUGUGUUGGGCA